UACGGAGGGUGCUAGCGUUGUUCGGAAUCACUGGGCGUAAAGCGCGUGUAGGCGGCCCACUAAGUCUGAUGUGAAAGCCCGGGGCUCACCCCCGGAAGUGCAUUGGAAACUGGUGGAUUCGAGUCCCGGAGAGGAGAGUGGAAUUCCUGGUGUAGCGGUGAAAUGCGUAGAUAUCAGGAGGAACACCGGUGGCGAAGGCGGCUCUCUGGACGGUGACUGACGCUGAGACGCGAAAGCGUGGGGAGCAAACAGG
rnacentral:rRNA from 1 species